rnacentral:rRNA from 1 species
GUGAACGCUGGCGGUAGGCCUAACACAUGCAAGUCGAACGGCAGCACAGUAAGAGCUUGCUCUUACGGGUGGCGAGUGGCGGACGGGUGAGGAAUACAUCGGAAUCUACUUUUUCGUGGGGGAUAACGUAGGGAAACUUACGCUAAUACCGCAUACGACCUACGGGUGAAAGCAGGGGAUCUUCGGACCUUGCGCGAUUGAAUGAGCCGAUGUCGGAUUAGCUAGUUGGCGGGGUAAAGGCCCACCAAGGCGACGAUCCGUAGCUGGUCUGAGAGGAUGAUCAGCCACACUGGAACUGAGACACGGUCCAGACUCCUACGGGAGGCAGCAGUGGGGAAUAUUGGACAAUGGGCGCAAGCCUGAUCCAGCCAUACCGCGUGGGUGAAGAAGGCCUUCGGGUUGUAAAGCCCUUUUGUUGGGAAAGAAAAGCAGCAGGUUAAUACCCCGCUGUUCUGACGGAACCCAAAGAAUAAGCACCGGCUAACUUCGUG